rnacentral:misc_RNA from 1 species
UGCCAUCCAAACACCACAGAGAAAACGAUUUACUUUUUUUUCUUUUCCACGUCUUCCCUUACCAAACACAUAAUACGUCCACACGCCUUUUCAACUUUGCAGUAUUCACAACACAACGCAAAGCUUCACGUUGCCAAAGGCGUGUUGAACAAGCUUCGCAUCCGCUUGUGGUUGUGUCCUAGUCUCCAGCAACUAGCUUCGCACAACACAGGUUACCCAGUUUCCCAUGCUAAAUUAUGAAGGACUCGUAACUAGAAAUAAUAAUCUUAAAAAUGGAUAUCUUAAAAAUGGAGAAAUGGCAGAUAAUUCGAUUC